CAAUAGCGUAUAUUAAAGUUGUUGCAGUUAAAAGCUCGUAGUUGGAUUUCUGGUGGGCGCAUCCGGUCCGCUCCGCAAGGAGUGUGCACUGGCGAUGUCGCCGGCCACUUUUACGGCGAACGAUUCUGGCAUUAAGUUGUCGGGGUCGGGAGCCGUAUCAUUUACUGUGAAAAAUUAAGAGUGUUUAAAGCUAGGCAUUUGCUGUGAAUACAUUAGCAUGGAAUAAUAAGAUAGGACUUUGGUGCUAUUUUGUUGGUUUGCACGCCAAGGUAAUGAUUAACAGGGACAGUUGGGGGUAUUCGUAUUUUGAUGUCGAGAGGUGAAAUUCUCAGACCAAUGGAAGACGAACCACUGCGAAAGCAUUUGCCAGGGAAUGUUUUUCCACGUGUAUCAAGAAC
rnacentral:rRNA from 1 species